rnacentral:rRNA from 1 species
CUGUGAGUUUGGAUCCUGGCUCAGGAUGAACGCUGGCGGCGUGCUUAACACAUGCAAGUCGAACGAUGAUCCCAGCUUGCUGGGGGAUUAGUGGCGAACGGGUGAGUAACACGUGAGUAACCUGCCCUUGACUCUGGGAUAAGCCUGGGAAACUGGGUCUAAUACCGGAUAUGACUCCUCAUUGCAUGGUGGGGGGUGGAAAGCUUUUGUGGUUUUGGAUGGACUCGCGGCCUAUCAGCUUGUUGGUGGGGUAAUGGCCUACCAAGGCGACGACGGGUAGCCGGCCUGAGAGGGUGACCGGCCACACUGGGAUUGAGACACGGCCCAGACUCAUACGGGAGGCAGCAGUGGGGAAUAUUGCACAAUGGGCGCAAGCCUGAUGCAGCGACGCCGCGUGAGGGAUGACGGCCUUCGGGUUGUAAACCUCUUUCAGUAGGGAAGAAGCGUAAGUGACGGUACCUGCAGAAGAAGCGCCGGCUAACUACGCCAG